CGCCAGACUCCUACGGGAGGCAGCAGUGGGGAAUAUUGCACAAUGGGGGAAACCCUGAUGCAGCAACGCCGCGUGAGUGAAGAAGUAUUUCGGUAUGUAAAGCUCUCUCGGCAGGGAAGAAAAUGACGGUACCUGAGUAAGAAGCCCCGGCUAACUACGUGCCAGCAGCCGCGGUAAUACGUAGGGGGCAAGCGUUAUCCGGAUUUACUGGGUGUAAAGGGAGCGUAGACGGCAGUGCAAGUCUGGAGUGAAAGGCGGGGGCUCAACCCCCGGACUGCUCUGGAAACUGUACGGCUGGAGUGCAGGAGAGGUAAGUGGAAUUCCUAGUGUAGCGGUGAAAUGCGUAGAUAUCAGGAGGAACACCGGUGGCGAAGGCGGCCUGCUGGACUGCAACUGACGUUGAGGCCCGAAAGCGUGGGGAGCAAACAGGAUUAGAUACCCGGGUACG
rnacentral:rRNA from 1 species